rnacentral:rRNA from 1 species
UACGUAGGUGGCAAGCGUUGUCCGGAUUUACUGGGCGUAAAGGGCGUGCAGGCGGUUUGUUUAGUCUAGGGUGAAAGCUCCCGGCUUAACUGGGAGAGGUCCUUGGAUACUGGCAAACUUGAGGGAGGCAGAGGAAAGUGGAAUUCCCGGGUGUAGUGGUGAUAUGCGGUAGAUAUCGGGAGGAACACCAGUGGCGGAAGGCGGCCUUUCUGGGCCUUACCGU